GAAGAUAAUGGUAUCUCAUGGAAUAUCAUUCAAAUGAUUUUUUCAUACGUCUUAACAUAAGCAAACAGAUAUAUUCAAUAAAAAAACAGAAGACGUACUCGUACUUGGCAAGAUAGAAACUGAAAGCACAAACGAAACCAUCGAUUCAUAGAAACGUAGGGCACUGUCAUGUGACUCGUCAUGCACAACGGGAGCAUCCAAAAUGUUUGAUUGGACAGCAACCACAAAAAUAUUAUAGCUGCGUCACUCCAAGUUAGCCCCUCGCACUUUUCAGAUUUGUAGCUUUUUAUUUUCCUGCAUCUUCAUUUCUUCCACAAUAUCUUCAUUUUCACUAUCAGAUUCAACAACUUCAAAAAUAGAGAGCAUUCCGCAGCCAUACUUCCCAUCCUCUCUUAUCUUUGUCACUCUGCAAGCCUAUCCUUAAAUGAAGAAAGGUAAACAUGUAACAAAUCUGCUCACAGAGGUUAACUUGCAGAAUGUUUAUAUGGUGGUCAUGGUGCUUUGCCGAUCAUUAAUUUUCAAUCAAAUAUUAGUACAUAAGUAUGUAUUCAUACCGAAUUGCAAGAUUAGCACCGAGCAAAUGACUUAGCUGAGUAAACACCUUCAGGUUUCCCGUGGCAUAGUGAUUGGCAUACCAAUUAGAAAAGAAUGCAAAGAGAGAACUCGUCCACAAGUAAAAAGUUGAGAAAAAUGCAAAUGUCAGAUGCAUAACUUAAAAAAAAAGUAUAUAUUUUUAUAAUCCAAAAAAUCAAGAGGAAAGAAUGCAAAGCAACCGUUUACCUGUUGUUCCACUGAAUAUUAGUAAGCUCCCUUGGGUUUUGUCAGAGAAACAUGAAGGAAGAGGAGAAGAAAAUGCAUGUAGCAAGGAGAACGAAAAAUUGGUGCCCAGAGGGCUGACAACAGGUCAUAACCACUCGCAUCACCUGCAUUGGCCUUUCGUGAUCCUGCCUGUGCUAUGUGCAUGCCAUUUUCUGCCAUCUUAAGCCCCUGCAGCUCUAUCAUGGACUGCAACUCUAUCAUGGACGACACGAGUCCGGGACACCAUCAUCAGCUCAUCCCCCGAUCGAGGUGUGCGAUAUACUUGAUGUAUGAUCCAAGCAUCAGCCCGCACGGAGCUCCACCACCCGCCCCUUGGCCAACUCGACACCCCAGGAAUUCCACAAACCUAAGUGCCCCA
rnacentral:lncRNA from 1 species